rnacentral:piRNA from 1 species
UGAAAACUACUGAACUUAAAACCACCUUCA